AACUGGAGUCUCCCUCCGAGGUCGAGACAUGACACUCAGCUAGUUAGGAUGCUAACUGUGGAAGCUAGCCUUAGCAUAGCUCAAGAGCACAGUGCAAACAGACAAAGAGGAAUAACCGAGGCUGACAUCAACCUGCCGGCCCUUGAUCAUCUUCUCCACCCUCCGGCCCAUCUGACUCAUCUCAUCCACGGUGGUUUCAUUGAACUCAAAAUGUCAUCGGCAAGUGAGACCUGAGAACACCGACACAUACACAAAACAAUAUCGAGACAAAUGCUGUUGGAUCAAAGGCCUUGUUCAUGGAACGUGUGGAUGAGCUCAAGGUGUCGAGUUCAUCACCGGCUGCUUUUAUCACACCUGUGCCUGUCACUGAGACAAAAACCUGACACUGUACUGUACACUCACAGUUUAAUUGUAGAUGGAAUAAUGUAUUCAUGUACUUUGCAGAUAUAUUUGUUCUGUGUAUAUCAUCACGUUUUAAAGUGUAGAUGGCUCAAUGUAGCCUGAGUCUGUCAACUACACAUGCAGCGUUUUUAGAAAUGAUCUACAAAUGUAAAUUUUCGUACCGGUGGUUUUAAAUGUGACAUGAAAGAAGGUCGCUGUGCCUUUUCCUUUUCCUUUUUAAAGCAUCUGGUGAAGCCCAUUGGAACAAAUCUCCCCCAGUUCACAGUAAAAGUGAAUCAGGCUUGUGUCAAAAUGUAAUUUCUCUCUUUGGAUUUUUUCAACAUGAGCUACACUGAGCCAUAUUUAAAUCCAAAAGCCUUACAGAUUUUAUAGAAGCUUUUGGGGGUUUUCACACUGAUUAAACUCAUCAGGUUUUACAGAUUGUAUUCAUGGCAUUUUAUUGAAUGAGAUCUGGGUCACUUCAAAUCUAAAAAUACUGUGAGCAGCAACAAAGCAUUUUGAAAGCUAAGACUAUUGAUCUGUGACGGAUUUAUUCUUUUCUGUUGUCUUCCCACAACAUUAACUUCAUUAACAUGCUGUAAACUAAAAUGUAAUGGUUUAUGUUACCUUUUUAAAAGAAAAAAAUCUCCCACUGCAAUAAAACAAAAUGUUCAUAAUCCCCAGUGGAUGAAUCCCAUUGACAUUCUUGUAACGUUUCAACUAGCGCCACCUGCAGGUUGUCAUUUAUAGUUUGAGUUUUUUCCAUUAAAUCUGGUACAGGUUAUGUAUCCAGGUAAAUGCUUUGAUGUAGAGGUGCAAAGAUUUGUCGAUUGACAGAUUAAUCAUUAGUCAGAAAUUUAACCGACAAACAUUUUGAUAUUUGAAGAGUAGGUUUUUUUCUUUUUUUAGGGGAAAAUAUUUGAUAGUAAACUCAACAUCUUUGAGUUUUGUGUGAAAGAAUAAUUUUAAAUUAAAGACGU